UGGGGAAUAUUGCACAAUGGGCGCAAGCCUGAUGCAGCCAUGCCGCGUGUAUGAAGAAGGCCUUCGGGUUGUAAAGUACUUUCAGUCGGGAGGAAGGUGGUAAGGUUAAUAACCUUAUCAAUUGACGUUACCGACAGAAGAAGCACCGGCUAACUCCGUGCCAGCAGCCGCGGUAAUACGGAGGGUGCAAGCGUUAAUCGGAAUUACUGGGCGUAAAGCGCACGCAGGCGGUUGAUUGAGUCAGAUGUGAAAUCCCCGGGCUUAACCCGGGAAUUGCAUCUGAUACUGGUCAGCUAGAGUCUUGUAGAGGGGGGUAGAAUUCCAUGUGUAGCGGUGGAAUGCGUAGAGAUGUGGAGGAAUACCGGUGGCGAAGGCGGCCCCCUGGACAAAGACUGACGCUCAGGUGCGAAAGCGUGGGGAGCAAACAGG
rnacentral:rRNA from 1 species